rnacentral:rRNA from 1 species
GAACGCUGGCGGCGUGCCUAAUACAUGCAAGUCGAGCGAACAGAUAAGGAGCUUGCUCCUUUGACGUUAGCGGCGGACGGGUGAGUAACACGUGGGUAACCUACCUAUAAGACUGGGACAACUUCGGGAAACCGGAGCUAAUACCGGAUAAUAUGUUGAACCGCAUGGUUCAAUAGUGAAAGAUGGUUUUGCUAUCACUUAUAGAUGGACCCGCGCCGUAUUAGCUAGUUGGUGAGGUAACGGCUCACCAAGGCAACGAUACGUAGCCGACCUGAGAGGGUGAUCGGCCACACUGGAACUGAGACACGGUCCAGACUCCUACGGGAGGCAGCAGUAGGGAAUCUUCCGCAAUGGGCGAAAGCCUGACGGAGCAACGCCGCGUGAGUGAUGAAGGUCUUAGGAUCGUAAAACUCUGUUAUUAGGGAAGAACAAACGUGUAAGUAACUGUGCACGUCUUGACGGUACCUAAUCAGAAAGCCACGGCUAACUACGUGCCAGCAGCCGCGGUAAUACGUAGGUGGCAAGCGUUAUCCGGAAUUAUUGGGCGUAAAGCGCGCGUAGGCGGUUUUUUAAGUCUGAUGUGAAAGCCCACGGCUCAACCGUGGAGGGUCAUUGGAAACUGGAAAACUUGAGUGCAGAAGAGGAAAGUGGAAUUCCAUGUGUAGCGGUGAAAUGCGCAGAGAUAUGGAGGAACACCAGUGGCGAAGGCGACUUUCUGGUCUGUAACUGACGCUGAUGUGCGAAAGCGUGGGGAUCAAACAGGAUUAGAUACCCUGGUAGUCCACGCCGUAAACGAUGAGUGCUAAGUGUUAGGGGGUUUCCGCCCCUUAGUGCUGCAGCUAACGCAUUAAGCACUCCGCC